rnacentral:rRNA from 1 species
AUAGGUGGCAAGCGUUGUCCGGGAAUUAUUGGGCGUAAAGCGCGCGCAGGCGGUUCUUUAAGUCUGAUGUGAAAGCCCACGGGCUCAACCGUGGAGGGUCAUUGGAAACUGGAGAACUUGAGUACAGAAGAGGAAAGCGGAAUUCCACGUGUAGCGGUGAAAUGCGUAGAGAUGUGGAGGAACACCAGUGGCGAAGGCGGCUUUCUGGUCUGUAACUGACGCUGAGGCGCGAAAGCGUGGGGAGCAAACAGGAUUAGAUACCCUGGUAGUCCACGCCGUAAACGAUGAGUGCUAAGUGUUAGGGGGUUUCCGCCCCUUAGUGCUGCAGCUAACGCAUUAAGCACUCCGCCUGGGGAGUACGGCCGCAAAGGCUG